rnacentral:tRNA from 1 species
GCCUUCUUGGCUCAGUUGGCAGAGCGUCUGCCUAGUAAGCAGAAGGUCGCCGGUUCGAUUCCGGCAGAAGGUA